CGAGCAGAUUAGCGGAGGACCACACGGCAGGCAAGAAAGCUGGAACUCGUGAGCAGGGAAUUGUCCACGGUCUCAAUUUGCUCUACGAGUGUGGUGAAAGGGAAAACGCUCAAACUCACAGCUGGAGGAAGAUUUCUGGGAGAGUGGUUCAGGCGAGGAUUGGGUGAGGAUCCAGAGCUUGCAAUGACGCUGGCAGAACCGACGUCUGCAGAGGAGGUGAGUUGGCGAGGUGAAGCUGACGAGAAGGGGGAUCUUGACAGAGCAGGAACAGGCUGAGUGCCACCCAGCCGCAGGCAGACGAAUAGCAGGAAACAGGCAGGCAGAGCUCGUAGUCAGGGACAGAAGGCUAAGGCGUGAAGCAAAGGUCAGGGGCAGAUCAGGUCGAUACUAGGUAAGCUGUCAGGGAAUGAAUGCUGGAGAGUUAAGCAUGAGAGCGACGACAAUCUGGCAAAGAGUGAGGGGAAAGAAGCUGCAUAUAUACUGGCCUGAUUGGAGAUGAUGAGCAGGUGAGAGCAGCAGGUGGAUGCAGUUAGCUGAUGAGGGGUGUGGCUGAGCAGCAGAGCAGGAGAGGCACAGGGCAGACUGUUACACAUUAUCAAUAAACUUAAAUAUCUCAAACUCUCAGUCACUGAAUUAAAGUUAUUUUAACUGUUAAUUUGAUUUAAAUUAGGAUUUUCUCACCACUGGCGUCUCUGAGGUCUCUUGCAGUGAUGCCACCAAACACUCUCUCUGCAACAAAGAGUGACACACCUGUCCCUGAGCCUCUUUAAAACCUCUGCCUAGCAUUCCCCACUCUACCUGCACUUGCUGUACUUUACCUGCCCUGCUGAGGCUCUUCAGUGGAAGGGACAAACCUGAAAAACAUAAAUCUAAACAGUCACAUAAAAAAUGUCAAAAGACUGUCCUGACAAAGACUAUGCUGAGAUGGUGCCCAAAGAGGAGUUGCACCAUGGUGACGGGAAAGUAUGGUACAUACCACACCACAGAGUCUACCAUCCCACUAAAAGAAAGAUCAGAGUUGUGUUUGAUUGUGGAGCAAGAUACCAAGGAACAUCACUCAAUUCUCAGCUGCUAAAGGGCCCCGAUCUUACCAGUUCUCUGAUUGGAGUGGUUACUCGGAUUAGGAAGGAACCAGUUGUGAUCAUGGCUGACAUAGAAGCCAUGUUCUGCCAUGUUCCACCAGGUCCAAGUCCCUCCUGAUGACAGAGACCUUCUCAGGUUCCUCUAGUGGCCUAAGGGUAAUAUGCAUCAGCCACCCAAGUAUUGGAUAAAGGUGCACUUGUUUGGGGCUACAUCAUCUCCCAGUUGUGUUCCUAAAGACUUUAAAAACAGGCACUGGACUGUGUAGAGUUGAGAAGAUGUUUCGCCUCUUAUCCAAGAAGCUUCUUCAGUUCUAAUUAUUGCUAGUGUGAGGAGCAGAUAUUUAUCCUACUGGAGAAAGGGACAGACAACAACUGGGAGGAGUUUGGAAUGAAUGGGUCAGAGAGACCCAUCUCCGGGUGUUCCCCCCUGAGGGUCGUUAACCUGAAAGGGUCGUUAACCUGAAAGGGUCGUUAACGACCCCUGUCAUGUGACCACAUGAAUCAUGCCAUCUGAGUCAUGUGGUCUCAGGUGUGAAUGUUUGUGGAGCUUCCUGGGGAGAGAGCUGAGAACUGCAUUGUAAGUGCCAGAGAGGUUGCGCCUGAGUCCACCCCCUCUGUUCAGAGAAGUCUUCUCAACUCUACACAGUCCAGUUGCCUGUUUUUUAAGUCAGGCCGUUCAUUAACUCCAGGCAACUGCAAAAUGCAUAAAAGCAUUUCCAAUAAGAAUAGAGACAUGCUUCAUAUUCAUUCAUUCCUGAGGAACUUGAACUUUCCAAUCAAAUAAAAUCAUUUCAUUGGUAUGCUUGCUAUGCCAACAGAAGGGUGCCAAAAAAUAUGGCAGUAUAGGUUGGUUAUUUGGAAAACCAUUAGAGAUAGAGUUCUAUAAUUGUGUUUCUUGGAUCACUUCACGUUAGGCUCAGUGGAGAUUCUCUGUAAGUCUGUGAUGCAAUGUGUGGCAGGCAGGCCGACCUGAGAGUCCAUUAUCACGGAGAGAGUCAUGACUGGUCUUUUGUUGGUGCUGGACAGACCAGCAGACUGCUUGUGGAGUGUAUGACUGCAGUUCAAAGUGUGAAUGACAAAGAGGAAAGUGAGUGAUGGAGGGGGGAGAGAGGAGCUGAAGAGGAUGAUUGAAAGCUCAACCUGAGAGUAAAGAACUAUGUCACAGUUAUAGUACUUGAGCCAAGAACCAAAAUUUCACAUAUCGGUACCACCUGGGUGGGCAAAUUCUAGUUGUGAUUUUUUUAUUGCUAUACAUCCCUACAAUAAGUUUUUAUAUGAUAGACCUUGGUAACUGGUAGCUUUAUUGUAGUUAUCACUCAUUGAAGUAAUAGAGUGCAGCUGUUCAAGAACGAAAAAUCGCCUUCCUUCAAAAUUAGCUUUCUUUCAUUUUAACCUCUCAUUUAGGUGUGUUUGAACUAUUGGCUAGCCAUAGAGACUUGUAAUAACCCCCUAAGUAGUAUUUCAAGCAAUUUUUUUAAUACAGGUGUGUAUAUAUAAGCUUCAAUUAGCCAAUUGUCAGGUCUAAAUCAAGGUCUAAAUUAAGGAUAUUUUUUGACUUAGAAGUAGAAGUAAAGUAAAUGCAGACUAAUAGCAUUAUAAUAAAAUAACCUUAAUAUGACACUGACAUAUUUUAAAUGCAGGCACUCAAUAUACAAUCAUCCUGGCUGGUGCAGGGCAAGAAGACAUUAGCAACAAAAUAAGAUCUACUGAUGUAUACACUCUAUACAAUCAUCUGAGAAAAACUCCAUUCCUCCACCAAGAACUUGAUGAGACUGGCUUUGUCGGCAGGGCUGCAGAGAAGUUUCCUCCACUGCUGAAUAUAUUGGCCAGAAACAAUGUUUCUGAACUGGAUCCCCAUGUCUGCACCUCUGUUUAGUCUUUCUGAAUUUUUGAUUGACAUGUCUUUAAAUUUAAACUUUAUUUCACUGAAAGCUGUUAAUUUACCAAAAGAUGUAAAGGCGGAUGAAGGUAGUGACAAUGGUUAAAAAAAGAACCAGGGUUAAGUAACGACAUCCAGGGUAAUAAAUCAAACGGAAAAGUUCAUUCUUUGAGGUUAAACAACCAACUUAAUACAAGCACUAGGCGGAGAAAAACACCAAUACAAUAAAAAUGACAGGCUAAGGUAAUGAAGGAAACAGCAAAUGCACUGCAGGCUCCACUGCCACCAUAGGCCUGCUCAGUCCAGCCACUACUGAACCACACCAUGAGUCACACAUUCUUCAACCAUUUCCACACAGGAGCGAUGACUGGAGGGAAUGUAAAGAGAGACCACAUUUACAUAUAGUACUUGAGCCAAGAACCAAAAUUUCACAUAUCGGUACCACCUGGGUGGGCAAAUUCUAGUUGUGAUUUUUUUAUUGCUAUACAUCCCUACAAUAAGUUUUUAUAUGAUAGACCUUGGUAACUGGUAGCUUUAUUGUAGUUAUCACUCAUUAUAAUCAUAAUACAGGUGUGUAUAUACACUCACCGGCCACUUUAUUAGGUACACCAUGCUAGUAACGGGUUGGACCCCCUUUUGCCUUCAGAACUGCCUCAAUUCUUCGUGGCAUAGAUUCAACAAGGUGCUGGAAGCAUUCCUCAGAGAGCUUGGUCCAUAUUGACAUGAUGGCAUCACACAGUUGCCGCAGAUUUGUCGGCUGCACAUCCAUGAUGCGAAUCUCCCGUUCCACCACAUCCCAAAGAUGCUCUAUUGGAUUGAGAUCUGGUGACUGUGGAGGCCAUUUGAGUACAGUGAACUCAUUGUCAUGUUCAAGAAACCAGUCUGAGAUGAUUCCAGCUUUAUGACAUGGCGCAUUAUCCUGCUGAAAGUAGCCAUCAGAAGUUGGGUACAUUGUGAUCAUAAAGGGAUGGACAUGGUCAGCAACAAUACUCAGGUAGGCUGUGGCGUUGCAACGAUGCUCAAUUGGUACCAAGGGGCCCAAAGAGUGCCAAGAAAAUAUUCCCCACACCAUGACACCACCACCACCAGCCUGAACCGUUGAUACAAGGCAGGAUGGAUCCAUGCUUUCAUGUUGUUGACGCCAAAUUCUGACCCUACCAUCCGAAUGUCGCAGCAGAAAUCGAGACUCAUCAGACCAGGCAACGUUUUUCCAAUCUUCUAUUGUCCAAUUUCGAUGAGCUUGUGCAAAUUGUAGCCUCAGUUUCCUGUUCUUAGCUGAAAGGAGUGGCACCCGGUGUGGUCUUCUGCUGCUGUAGCCCAUCUGCCUCAAAGUUAGACGUACUGUGCAUUCAGAGAUGCUCUUCUGCCUACCUUGGUUAUAACGGGUGGUUAUUUGAGUCACUAGCCACGUUUACAUGCAGACUUUUUUCUCAUUCGGAUUAUAAUCAUUCCGAUUGAAGCUCCCAGGCGAACUGUUUACAUGGAAGUGAUCUAUUCUGAUCUGGUGUUUACAUGUGCCACGGCAUUCAAUCGGAACAGCUAUUUACAGACACGUGAUACCUUCAAACAUCACGUGAUUGAUUGAUCACGUGAUCUCCGACGCAGACCAGUGCAUCGCGCUCUGCUUGGAAGCCGCCAUCAUGUUUCCAUGUGAGUCAUACGUCACUGCUUGUUCACAUCAGGACAGAGCAUGCGCAGACAGAACCCAGCCUGACAACUUUCCGAUUCACCGUUUACAUGACAGGAUUUUGCUUUUAAUUGGAAUGGGAAAAGGAAAAUUCUACCCCUGUGAAUCGGAAUGAAAUUCCAUUCGGAAUGGGCCUGUUUAUUCUGAAUGAGGUGUUUAUAUGGAGCAUUUUCAUUCCGAUUGGGCUUCUAAUCCGAUUAUAUUCGGAAUAUUUGGCUCCAUGUAAACGUAGCUACUGUUGCCUUUCUAUCAGCUCGAACCAGUCUGGCCAUUCUCCUCUGACCUCUGGCAUCAACAAGGCAUUUCCGCCCACAGAACUGCCGCUCACUGGAUAUUUUUUCUUUUUCGGACCAUUCUCUGUAAACCCUAGAGAUGGUUGUGCGUGAAAAUCCCAGUAGAUCAGCAGUUUCUGAAAUACUCAGACCAGCCCUUCUGGCACCAACAACCAUGCCACGUUCAAAGUCACUCAUAUCACCUUUCUUCCCCAUACUGAUGCUCGGUUUGAACUGCAGGAGAUUGUCUUGACCAUGUCUACAUGCCUAAAUGCACUAAGUUGCCGCCAUGUGAUUGGCUGAUUAGAAAUUAAGUGUUAACGAGCAGUUGGACAGGUGUACCUAAUAAAGUGGCCGGUGAGUGUAUAAUGAGUGCCUGCAUUUAAAAUAUGUCAGUAUCAUAUUAAGGUUGUUUUAUUAUAAUGCUAUUAGUCUGCAUUUACUUUACUUCUACUUCUAAGUCAAAAAAUAAACUUAAUUUAGACCUUGAUUUAGACUUGACAAUUGGCUAAUUGAAGCUUAUAUAUACACACCUGUAUUAAAAAAAAUGCUUGAAAUACUACUUAGGGGGUUAUUACAAGUCUCUAUGGCUAGCCAAUAGUUCAAACACACCUAAAUGAGAGGUUAAAAUGAAAGAAAGCUAAUUUUGAAGGAAGGCGAUUUUUCGUUUUUGAACAGCUGCACUCUAUUACUUUAAUGAGUGAUAACUACAAUAAAGCUACCAGUUACCAAGGUCUAUCAUAUAAAAACUUAUUGUAGGGAUGUAUAGCAAUAAAAAAAUCACAACUAGAAUUUGCCCAUCCAGGUGGUACCAAUAUGUGAAAUUUUGGUUCUUGGCUCAAGUGCUAUGAUACCUGAAAGAACUGCUCCACCAUCAAAUUGGGCCACUCCCACUUCAUCAACUCAUUUAAUUAGACACAGGUUUGAUUCAUUUAUAGAAAAGAGCAGUGUGACCCAAAAAGAGUAUGACUUUUAAUGUGCUUUUGACUUUCUGUGUUGCUUUUGGAGUUAACAAAAAUUCGCCUAUUGAGGAAAAUAACAAAAUGAGAAAAAAUAUAAAAAACUACCCCUAUGAAAAGUCUAUCAUAUUUUAAUUUACUUAUAUUGACCCUAAAAACAAUUUAGUAUAUGUAAGGUUUUGCCCACUCAAGUGGUACCGACAUCUGUUCCGGCUCAAGGACUAUUAAUGGUUCUCACAUACGCACGCACGCACGCACGCACGCACGCACGCACACACACACACACAAACAAACAAAAUACUUUAUCACUAAUAGUGCUCCUUACACUAUUUUUGAUCUAUUAUUCCUUUAACAGGUUAAUUAAAUGUAAUUAUAUUAAGAAAGGAACUCAAUUUUGUUAAAAGGCCCCUUUUUAACAUCAACCUUUGUCAUUUUGGGCUCUUAAUUUCUACUUUCUGCACACACACUUUGAGACAGAGCUGACUGGCAUGGGGGUUGGGGCUGUGUGUGUGUGUGUGUGUGUGUGUGUGUGUGUGUGUGCAGAGCGUUUUAGUGCAUGGGGGGAAGGGGUGAGUGUAGGUUGUCCUGGCAUGCUGCCAGUCCCUUGGUUUCUUGAUACCACUGUGUGUGUGUCUGUUUGUGUCUAUUUCUCUGUGUGCGUGUGCGUUUUAGUGCCCAAUGGGGGUCUGCCAGCAUGACAGGCGUCACCAAGGCAACAACAGAGCAGGUUCCAGAUGCAAUGCAUCAUAUUUCUACAGAAAGACACACACACACACACACACACACAAAAUGAGAAAAAAACCUUUGGUUAGUCAUGCUGAUAAAUUUGAUUAUGAUGGACUGGGUCUCAUUUAAAUAUUCAUUUUCCCUGAAAUUCUCUUUCACACUCUGAUAACUUAUUGGCUGCCUCGAUCAAGGAUUACAAUUUGCCAAAAUUUGAAUUAGCUUGAAAAUUGGUUGUUUCCUUUAUUCUUUCAUAUGUAUUUUUCACUGUUAUAAAGCUGAUCUUUGAUCCUUGAAGUGAUUUGUAUUUGAUUGACUGAGACUGAUAGGUCCUGUCUCUUAUCUGGAGGGAAUCAGUGCAGUGCCUGAGAACACAUCACCGGAUGGUUUCAUGCACCCAUAAACGCCGGCGGCGUCUACUGAGGAUGUACAGAUAUGCGGCAGCACAGAUGAACUGAAAACUGAGCUAGUGACGUUCUCAUGGAUGACGUCACCGGCGACCAGCCGCGACCUGCGACUGCAGCUUUGGACCCGUUGUGAACACACCAGAGCACCACGCGACGCGACAUGACCGACCAACGCGACGCGACGCGACGUGACGUGACGUGACGUGACGUGACGUGACGUGACGUGACGCGACGCGACCUGGUCGCGUUUGGUCUGAAGGGCCCCUUUAAAGGGGCGUUCAGACCAAACGCGACGCGACCUGGUCGCGUCGCUUUGGUCGGUCACGUCGUGUCGCGGGGUGCUCUGGUGUGUUCACACCGGGUCCAAAGCUGCAGUCGCAGGUCGCGGCUGGUCGCCGGUGACGUCAUCCAUGAGAACGUCACUAGCUCAGUUUUCAGUUCAUCGUCCUCGGUGCUGCCGCAUAUCUGUACAUCCGCAGUAGACGCCGCCGGCGUUUAUGGGUGCAUGAAACCAUCCGGAGAAGGACGGAGCUAGGUGAAUUUCACCGCUUGCUCCAGGAACUCCGCCUGGACGACGGCCGCUUCCAGCGGUAUUUCCGUGUGUCGACGGCGCAGUUCGAGGACCUCCUCGCCCGGGUGGGAAGCAGCAUCUCCCGCCUGGACACGAAAUACAGGCGCUCCAUCUCAGCUUCGGAACGCCUGUCUAUCUGUCUGUCCCUCAUAUAAACGUCCCUAAGCCCCUUCCACCGCUUGCGGCACACAUCCACUGCAAAGACACACACACAUAUGUUGAAACAUGUAGCCUAGCAAGCAGGGGCAGUUAGCUAUGUUUUCAUAAAACAGUCCGCUCACUGAAAUAAAUAAAUAAACCAACAAGCUUACCAAAAAGCCCGACAUCACGGGCCACCUUCCCCCAUGCUUCUUCUUUGGCGUUGUGGUCCCGGUACAGCCCGCAACCCACGUUGUAUAGCACCGGGUGGUAGCUAACGGAUGUGAUUAACUGCUCCUCCAUUGUGAUUCUUCUUCUCCUCUUCCUUGUUUCGCCGGUUUGUUGACGUCAGCAGAGCCCUGAUUGGCUGUCGCGGCACGGGGUCGCGGAAAGUCGCUCCCAAAGUUCAAAUAUUUGAACUUUGGGAGCGACGCGACUUGGCAUCCUGCGACCUCGGCGACGCGACUUGGCGACCUGGUCACCAAGUCGCUUCAGGUCGCGUCACAGGCAGCCGGCGGUCGCCAAGUCGUGUCAGGUCGCAGCUGUCCAUAGACUUUGCAUUGGGAGCCGUCGCCGAGGUCGCGUUCAGACAGACCAAACGCGACGCGUUGGUCGGUGACGUCGCGUCGCGUGGUACUCUGGUGUGUUCAAAGCAGGUCCAAAGCUGCAGUCGGAGGUCGCGGCUGGUCGCCGGUGACGUCAUCCAUGAGAACGUCACUAGCUCAGUUUUCAGUUCAUCUGUGCUGCCGCAUAUCUGUACAUCCGCAGUAGACGCCGCCGGCGUUUAUGGGUGCAUGAAACCAUCCGGAGGAGGACGGAGCUGGGUGAAUUUCACCGCUUGCUCCAGGAACUCCGCCUGGACGACGGGCGCUUCCAGCGGUAUUUCUGUGUGUCGACGGCGCAGUUCGAGGACCUCCUCGCCCGGGUGGGAAGCAGCACCUUCCGCCAGGACACGAAAUACAGGCGCUCCAUCUCAGCUUCGGAGCGCCUGUCUAUCUGUCUGUCCCUCAUAUAAACGUCCCUAAGCCCCUUCCACCGCUUGCGGCACACAUCCACUGCAAAGACACACACACAUACGUUGAAACAUGUAGCCUAGGCAAGCAGGGGCAGUUAGCUAUGUUUUCAUAAAACAGUCCGCUCACAGAAAUAAAUACACAAACAAACUUACCAGAAAGCCCGACGUCAUGGGCCACCUUCGCCAAUGCCUCCUCCAUGGAGGUGCGGUCCCGGUAAAAUGCGCACCCCACGUCGUACAGGACCGGGUGAUAACUCACGGCAGUGAUUAACUGCUCCUCCAUUGUGAUUCUUCUUCUCCUCUUCCUUGUUUCGCCGGUUUGUUGAUGUCAGCAGAGCCCUGAUUGGCUGUCGCGGCACGGAGUCGCGGAUAGUCGCUCCCAAAGUUCAAAUAUUUGAACUUUGGGAGUGACGCGACUUGGCGUCCUGCGACCUCGGCGACGCGACUUGGCGACCUGUUCGGCAAGUCGCUUCAGGUUGCGUCACAGGCAGCCGGCGGUCGCCAAGUCGCGUCAGGUCACGGCUUUCCAUAGACUUUGCAUUGGGAGCCGUCGCUGAAGUCGCGUUUGGUCUGAACACCCCUUAAUACUGUUUAUCCUCCCAAAUUUUUAAGAUGGUUUGCCAGUAGAGGUGUCAAUCAUGCCAAUCCUGUUUGCAGCAUCAAAGUUAAGGUUGCGGGUGCUGCCCGCACAAAAAAAAAAAACAAUUAGGCUACUGGACACAGGUCCUAAACGUAUACCCUUUUAACAGCAUCAAAUAACCAAAUACCACUAUACUGUUCAGAAAAAUAAACAACAGCAAAAAGUUGUUAUAAUGAAGAAUAACCAUAAUAAGAUGAAUCAUGUUUGAGAAAAAUUACGACACAUAUUUUAGGAUUGAAGUUAAAUCCAUGUCUCAUCUGUUAGCUUUCUGACAUAUAUGACAGCCAACCCAUGGGAAUAUAAAGGCAAUAUAUCAGUCAUUAGUUGUAUUUUGUUUAUAUUUUAAACCACUGCAACAGUUCAAAAUAGAAUUGGGAGGAGUUAGUAGGUAUAAAAUUUUGCUAACUGAUAACACGUCACAUCAAAAUAAUCUGCAAUAAGAAGCCUUGCACAGCUCAUCCUCGCUUGUUGACACUGUAGCAAAAACAUUACCUCCUCUCUGUUUAUGAGCAUGUGACAUAUAAAAGACUACUACUAACCCUUUGGGAGCUACUGAGCCCAAACUAUCUCUGAUAUGGAGUUAUAGAGUGAGACUUUGUCCUGCACUCCAGGGAAUGGCAGCAAACCUGAUGAAUGCAUUUCUGUGUUGCCAAAUGCUACAAAGCAUUUAAAAUAGCAAUGGUGUUUGAUGUUGUCACAGUUGCAUCAUUUAUGUUAAAGCUCUGCAUUUAUAAAAUAGACUAAAAUUAACAUUGCUGUAUUUUUUUUUUUUCAGUUUUUUUUUUUCCUUUUUUAAUGGACAGGACAGAGAGGAAACGCGGGAGAUAAAGAAAGGGGAUGACAUGCAGCACUUGGUUGGACUUGAGCCAGUAACCACUACGGGAACCAUGGUCCCCAAACGUAGGACAUACUAACCCACUAGGCGAUCUGCACGUCCCAUUGGUGUCUUUCUAUAUGAAAUCUAAAAGGCAACAUCAGCAACAAUAUUGAUGAUUUUUAUAUUGUACUUUUUAAUAAACUAAUGUCAGGGGGAAGGUGUCAGCCAAGCAACUGAGGACACAACACAGUUGUAUGAAAUAUUCAAAAUAGAUUAUACAUGUGAUGAUCAAAAGUCAGGAAGAUGAUAUUUUUUUGUCAGAAGAUGCUACUUAAAAGUGAAUGGCCUGUAAAUCCUUCUUUAUUUGAUGGAAUGCAGCUGAGAUUUGUUUAGGACACACGUGAUGGGGUACCAGACAGGCACAAAAAUCAGCUCCAAGUUUCAAUUAACUGCGCCCACGUGGCACUAUAAAAUGUCCAAAAAAAUAGCAUACUGUGACAAUGUGAUAGAUAUGCACAGCCACAUGAAAUUUGGUACACAGAUCAGGAGGGGUGUCCUCUUCAGGGCUCCAAUGUCAAAAUGGAGAUCCAACGGAAAAUGGCUCCACAGUGCCCCCUACAAGAUUUCAAAAAUUCAGCCCGCCACUGUGACCCACAGCCAUGGAACCGGGGCUGCUUAUAAAGAACCCCAAGAUGAACAAAAAGCCUCUUGCACCCAUAGGCCACGCCCAACCGGAAGUUGGCCAUAUUGGUUUGAAAAUAUGCGGUUUGAAGUUUUCUCCCACUUACAAAGCUCUUUUCAAAAAGUAUACCCUCUUAGGGAUUUAUAAAUAGAAAGCCAAAACUGCAGCCAGAGGUACCCACAAUAGUGUAAGACUGAUAUAGAACUUUUUGCGAUGAGGCUUAGUCUGGGAACAGCUUCCCCUUAAAGACAAGUAGGGCUUUUUGCAAGCGAGUUUCAACAACACAUCAAUAUGAAUUUCAGGCCAUUUCAUAAAUCCCCUAAUAGGAGCUUUAAACAGGAAGGAGAUGAGUUGAACAAAGACCGCUUUGUCCAUUGGGAGUGCCAAAAUUGUUACAAAGUAAAAAGUUUGUCAUAGGAGCUUAAAGAUGUUCCUGCAAAGUCCCAAGAAAAAUUAGCACUCAGUGAGGACUGAAAUUUCAUUACCAAUAUUCCAGCAGAUGUCUCAUUCACUCUGUUUAAAGAUGCCUUCAAUGAAAAUGGUACAUUUAAGUAGAAUUAUGAGAAAUAAACAGACUUAUGCUUGAACAGUGAAUUGAAAUGUUUAUUUCAUUAGUAAUAGAAUAGAAUAGAAUAGAAUAUUCCUUUAUUGAUCCCCCAUGGGGGAAAUUUUUUUGUCACAGCAGCAUCACAGACAAGACAGAAAGUGCAAAAUGCAGUUAUAACAAUAAGGGUCCUAAUAUUAAGAACUUAAUAAAUGUAAUAAUUAAGAGAAAAAAAAAAUUGAAAAAGAGAAAAGGGAGAAGAAAAAAUAAAGCUUUCUGCAAUAUACACAAUUUAAAUGCCAUAAAAAAAGUGGUGGUGUAAAUCCAGUUUUGUUACUGUUCAUUGUAAAGUCUUAUUGCAGAGGGGAGGAAUGAUCUGCGGUAGCGCUCCGUCCUGCAGGGUGGGAGUCUCAGUCUGCUGCUGAAGGAGCUGCCUAAAGCCCCCACAGUCUGGUGCAGUGGGUGAGAGGGAUUGUCCAUGAUGGAUAUAAGCUUUGUUAACAUCCUCCUCUCACCCACCUCCUCCAGGGAGUUCAAAGAACAGUCUAGGACAGAACUGGCCCUCCUGACCAGUCUGUUCAGUCUCUCCCUGUCCCUCUUGGUGCUCCCUGCCCCCCAGCAGACCACUGCAUAGAAAAGUGCAGAUGCUACCACAGAGUCAUAGAAAGUCCUGAGCAGAGUCCUGCACACUCCAAAGGACCUCAGUCUCCUCAGCAGGUGGAGACGACUUUGGCCCUUCUUGUACAGAACGUCUGUGUUUGUUGACCAGUCCAGUUUGUUGUUGAGGUGGACACCCAGGAAUCUGUAGGACUCCACCAUCUCGAUGUCCAGACCCUGUAUGUUCACUGGAACUGUUUGAGGUGUCCCCCUCCUGCGGAAAUCCACAACCAUAAUUCAGACUAUAUGACAGCCUCUCAUUGGAUUCUUGCUCACCAUGUUGGGAUGACCACCUACUCUCAUAUAACCUUUACCUGUUCUUAUUUUCUCUACAGUAACACCAAUCUACACACUCCCAGGUGCUCAAAGUAAAGACCACCCAGUGUGUGUGUGACAGAAGUUUUGUGUAAAACAAAAAGCAAGAUAUAAAGGUCUGUACCAUUAAGUGUAUCCAUAGAAAUCCAUUUAUGCAAGACUGUGUGCAGAGUGUGUAGAGUUUCCAUUUGCAUAACUUAUUUAUAACAGCAUAGUGUUACAGGCAGCCUGAACACAGACAUUUUCACAGCAGAAUCCCUCUCCCUGACCCACUUCUGUCUAAAACAAAUUGCUACUAAGACCUAGUCUACAUCUAACCCUUCGCAAUAGUUGCCUAUGAACUGUGAGAGCAACGGCCAGUGUAUAUUACUUUACUUUGCAUCUUCUCAAGUGAACUUAACAAUAUGGAGACCUAUAAAUGGAUCAACACUCCCUUGGUCUGAGUGCAGACCAACCAAAGAAAAUAAGGAGUGGGUGGUGUUGUAACUCUUCAGUUUCAGGUCUAUUAGAGAGCUGUGUUUAUUUAUAAUGCCAGCUCUGUUUCCUUGUUACUGCCUCAGUCUUCAGAUCCAGGCCAAAAGUUUGUGUAAGCCAAAAAGGAUCAAUAUUAUAUCAAAGAAGUCUUGUUGGUAGAGUAACAAUCCUACAGAUCAAAAUCCUGAGCAGAACCUGCAUGUAUUUGUCAUUCUAUCCUUAGGCUUUAUAAAAUAAAAACCUAGUCUCUAUUAUGUCAUAAAUUAGUUUCUGAAGUGGAGUUUUAAAGCAUUUCGACAGCAGUGGCCACACUGAAAACACCCACUAAACCUAAUGCCAAACUUGUACUUGUUAUUUUGGUGGAAGCAAAACUAAUACUCUGAAUCAUUUGAAAGACAAAUAUGGUACUUUUGUGUGGUGAGACGCCUCCUCCUUUUGUUUUAUUUUGGCUGGACUUCCUGUGUUUCCGUGUUUGCCUGGUCUGGCUUUACUUUCUUCCAGAGCUUCCUCCCCUCCCCUGGUUGCUGAGGCUGAGUGAGACUACACACCUGCUCUUCAUCUACAAUCAAGGCACUUUAAGAAGCCAGCAGCCCUCAGUCUCAGCACCUGAGUAUUGUCUUCACUUCCAAGUGGUAUAGACGUGUCUCCUGGCCUCCUUCCUUUGAAAUUAGUAUUCGUAAUUCUGCUCCAGAUUCAUUGUAUGUUCACUCACUUCCCUCUCCUCUUUUUUUCCUGCAGUGUCUCCAGCCCACACGACAGUCAGCCAACGAGCCUACCGGACUUCCUCUUUCUUGCCUUUAAACCUGAGUUUGGACAUUAAAAUUACACCUAAAGUUGAUCUCUGUCUCUGUGUCUCUGUGUCUGCUUCUGGGUCCUCACAACUCACCAGUCACGCCACAGAAUACUCAGGCCAGGAUAAUGGACCCAGCAAACCCGGAUAGGUUUCAGCAAGCUGUCCAGAAGUGGGUGGGGGGAACUAGAAUUAAAGGGGAUAUUCACUCGUGGUCUGUCCGAACAGCUUAAAGACGAGCUUGCAGCUCGGGAUGAGCCCUCCUCCCUUGAGGAGCUAAUCACAUUAGCCAUUAGGAUGGACAAUCGCCUCAGGGAGAGACGGAGGGAGAAGAAAGCACAUUCCCCUGCACAUAGCAUAGACUCCCCAUCCUCUGUUGCGGUCAGCGGGUCUCCUCUGCAGCCCUCAGUCUUUCCGGAUCCGGCGCCCUCUGCCGAGGAACCCAUGCAAAUUGGCCGCACCAAAUUACAUCCCGAUGAACAGAGACGAAGGAUAGAGCAGAAGCUCUGUGUGUAUUGUGGCCAGGCCAGCCACUUUCUGCCCAACUGUCCUAAUAAGUUAAACGGCCAGGCUCAUCAGUGACAGAGGGCACCCUGAUGAGCCACACCUCCUCUGUUCCUAGCUCUCCUAGACGCAUCUCGGUACCUGCUUGUCUCCUGUGGGGAAAAGAAUCCACUUCCCUCCAAACCCUCAUUGACUCUGGGGUGGAUGACAAAUUCAUUCACGCCGGACUGGCAGUGCGGCUUCAGCUCCCCCUGGAGGUACUCCCAGUUCCCCGUAAGGUCACCGCUCUCGAUGGCAGGGUUAUAGCCACCAUAACCCACUGCACUGCUCCUCUCACCCUCAUCCUGUCGGGAAACCAUCGGGAGGACACCCGGUUGUUCCUGCUUCCCUCUCCACACUCACCCCUGGUGCUGGGACUCCCUUGGCUGCAGAUCCACAACCCCCAAAUGAACUGGUCCACAUCUUCGAUCUACGCUUGGAGUCCUCACUGUCACUCCCACUGCCUCCGCUCCGCCAAUCCCUACAUCCACUUACAGAGGCCAGCAUCUCCACCGCCAUCUCUCACCUCGGUUCCCCCCCAUUUACCAUGAUCUGGCCAUGGUGUUCAGUAAGGAGCAGUCUCUCGUCCUUCCUCCUCAUCGCCCAUAUGACUGCGCCAUAGAUUUGCUCCCUGACGCCCCUCUCCCCAGUAGCAGACUGUAUCUCUCGGCCCGAACGAGAGGCCAUGGAGGAAUACAUCCAGGACUCCUUGACAUCUGGACUCAUCCGGCCCUCAACCUCUCCCCUUGCCGCUGGUUUCUUCUUUGUGAAGAAAAAAGAUUCCUCUCUCCAUCCCUGCAUCGACUUUCGCGGACUCAAUGAGACCACCAUAAAAAACAAAUAUCCCCUGCCACUCAUCGAUCCCUCCUUUGAACCUCUCUGCAAGGCCACCAUCUUUUCCAAACUGGACCUCCGGAAUGCCUAUCACCUGGUUCACAUCAGGGAGGGGGACGAGUGGAAGACGGCCUUCAAUACACCCAUGGGCCACUUCGAGUACCUCGUCAUGCCCUUUGGCCUCACCAAUGCCCACGUUGUGUUCCAGGCUCUCAUUAAUGACAUCCUCUGUGACAUGAACAACCAAUUCGCCUUCGUCUAUCUGGACGAUAUCCUGAUCAUCUCCCGCCACCUGGAAGAACACCAGCAGCACGUUCGACUCGUCCUCCAGCGCCUCCUCGAAAACCGCCUUUUCGUCAAACCCGAGAAGGGAAAGUUCCACGCCUCCUCCGUCAGUUUCCUUGGAUACAUCAUCGCCCAGGGGGAGCUACGCCCAGACCCAGAGAAAGUCUGUGCCGUCCGUGACUGGCCCACUCCCUCCUCCUGCAAAGACCUCCAGUGAUUCCUCGGCUUCGCCAACUUCUACCGGCGCUUCAUCAGAAACUACAGCAAGGUGGCUGUGCCCCUUACCCGUCUCACAUCCCUCAAGGUCCCGUUCUCCUGGACCCCCGAAGCAGACGCCACCUUCUGUCAGCUCAAGUCCCUCUUCAUCUCCGCCCUGGUGCUCAAACACCCGGAUCCCUCUCUUCAGUUCGUGGUGUAGGUCGAUGCUUCGGACUCUGGAGUGGGGGCCGUCCUCUCACAGAAGGAUUCUGAGACCCGGAAGCUCCAUCCUUGCGCCUACUUCUCCUGGAAACUCUCACCCACUGAACGAAACUACGACGUGGGAAACCGUGAGUUGCUGGCUGUCGUGUGGGCACUACAAGAAUGGAGACACUGGCUGGAAGGAGCACAACAACCUUUUCUCAUCUGGACUGACCACAAGAACCUGCAAUACCUCCGCUCCGCUCGACGCCUCAACUCCAGGCAAGCCCGCUGGUCCCUCUUCCUCAGUAGAUUCAGCUUCACCCUCUCCUAUCGUCCAGGCUCCCGCAAUCUCAAACCAGACACCCUAUCUCGGAUCCAUUCCUCGGCUACCUUGGACCCCAGCGAACCAGACACCAUCCUCCCUGCCUCCUGUGUCGUCGGCUCCGCCUCUUGGGAGAUCGACACCAUCGUGGACCAGGCCCUCCGGAACCACCCAGACCCGGGAACUGGCCCGCCUGACAGAAAAUUUGUCCCUGAGGUUGCACGUUCCCAGGUCCUACAGUGGGAGCACUCCUCCAAACUCACCUGUCACCCCGGGUUUCAACGCACCCUCCAAUUCCUCCAGCAGCAGUUCUGGUGGCCGGGAAUGGUCCGGGACGUACGGGCGUUUGUUGCUGCCUGCUCCGUCUGUGCCCGAGGCAAAGUCUCCCACCAACCUCCGGCUGGCUUGCUGCGUCCCCUUCCUGUGCUCUCACGCCCCUGGUCUCACAUAGCCCUAGAUAUCGUCACUGGUCUCCCUCCUUCUGAAGGUAACACAGUCAUACUCACCAUGAUUGACAGAUUUUCCAAAUUUGUGCAUUAUGUCCCGUUACCCAAGCUCCCGUCUGCUUUAGAAACUGCUAACCUCCUGGUAUCUCAUGUGUUCCAACUACAUGGUAUCCCCCUUGACAUAGUGUCAGAUCGUGGUCCCCAGUUCUCCUGUCAGGUCUGGAAAGCUUUCUGCCAGGCAGUGGGCGCAGCAGCUAGCCUCUCCUCGGGUUACCACCCGCAGACCAACGGCCAGACGGAGUGGGCCAAUCAAAACCUUAAGUCGGCCCUGUGGUGUGUGGCGGCCCAUCAUCCAGCGUCCUGGAGUACGCACCUCCCAUGGAUCCAAUACGCCCAUAACUCCCUCACCUCUUCGGCCACAGGUAUGUCUCCCUUCAUGUGCUGUUUUGGUUACCAGCCCCCCCUGUUUCCCGAACAGGAGCACCCGGUGGCCGUCUCGUCAGUGAGGGAGCACAUUGGGCAUCUACGGGAGGUGUGGAGAUCCGCCAGGGCCGCACUCACCCGCACGGCCGAGCGCAACAAACGCCUGGCUGUUGUUACCGCUCUCCAGCACCAGACUAUCGUCCCAGUCAGAUGGUCUGGUUAUCGUCCCGUGACCUUCCCCUGCAGACAGAGUCCCGCAAGCUGUCCCCCGGCUUCAUUGGUCCCUUUCCUAUCCAGAAAAUCAUCAACCCUUCAGUGGUAAGAAUAAAAAUUCCUUCAACCCUCAAAAUUCACCCCACAUUUCAUGUCUCCCUGAUAAAGCCUGUCACCUCAUCAGGCAUGAAAAUGGGUCAGGGGUUGAAAAGGUGAGAAG
rnacentral:lncRNA from 1 species